GUGCUCGUUUCAGCAGCUCAUAUACUAAAAUUGGAACGAUACAGAGAUUAGCAUGGCCCCUGUGCAAGGAUGACAUGCAAAUUCGUGAAGCAUUCCAUAUUUUU